AAGGGGUGAAGGAAGCAGGAGUAGACUGGACCUUCGCUUUCUCUGGGAACUAGACCAAGUUUGCUUUUAGUUACUAGAAUAAAAUUCUGACCCAAGCUCAUUUGGGGAGAAAGGAGCUACAGCCCAUUAUCAAGGGAAACCUGGGCAUAAACUCAAGGAAGGAACCUGGCAGCGGGAACCGAAGUAGAGAUGGUGGAGGAAAGCUGUUUGUCGUCUAGAACAGCCUCAUAUAAUCCGAGCCCACCAGCCCAAAGAUGGCACUGCCCACAGUGGACUGGGCCCUCUACUUCAGUCACCAGUUAGGAAAAACCUCACAGGCAUGGGCUCAGAGUAUGUGCUGCCAGAGGUCCACCUUCAACCAGGAGCUCUGUUCUGAGGUCUGUGGUGUGGCUAGAAACCAUGUGGAUGCCCUCGGACCCUAAAGAGCAAAUAAGCUACUUUGGCAGUGUUAUUGAUGGCUGCAGAUGCACAGUUAAGAAAGAGGGACGUGGAAGAUUUCUGUGAUAACCCCUACCUCCACCCAACCCUCCCCCAGAAUAAUAGCCUAGACAGGAAGCCAUAGAAGGGGACUCUUAAAAACUGUGAUAUGAGGCUGAAAUGUCGCUCGCCAUAAUAGACGACUUCCAGCAGAGGUGUAAAAGGGGAAGAACUUAGUUCUAUGGGGGGAGGGGGGCAGACCACUGGGAGUUCGGCCAUGGUGCAGUGA